GGACGCCGCUACAGACUGUCAGCCCCACCACCAUUGUGGUCAGCAAAUGCAUCUCGCCCAAGGUCGCGCCGCCCUUCCCCAUCAACCAGGUGCGGCGUCCUGCAUCAUGGUAUGGGAUAGUGAAGGUCGACAGGGUCCUUAGAGCGUAAUUUGUGCACGCGCGGUGGGCUGUUCGUGGCCAGCUUGCUCACACACAGCACACACAGCAGAUGACUGUACCCAAUGUGGCUGCAUGGCUAUGCAAACGACUGGAUGCGCUGCAAUCUGCCGCUUGGCCCUCCAACACGUACCUGCCUGGCGCCCACUAUCGCCCUCACAUACCCUGCUGACGCCUUUGCCCCGCCCGCCCCCACACCUGCCUCUCCCCGCCGCACGCCUGUGUUCGCAGGUGCUCAAGGGACACGCCGUGGGUCAGGUGGGUGACAUGCUGGAGGGGCUGCUGCUGGCCACCGCCCAGAAGAUACUGCUCGGCGAGGAGGGGGAGGAGCAGCGCGACGGGUAGCUGCGGAAUUGAGUGCCACUGCUGCAGAAAUGAUGAGUGCUGCAGAAAUUACGAGUGCUGCGGAAGUAAUGAGUGUUGCACCAGUGAUGAGUGUUGCAAAAGUGAUGAGUGUUGCGGAUUGAGGACCGCAAAAGGAAAUGGAAGAGGGAUGCAAACUAGGACGCAGGGGGCCUUAGGGGAGUACCAGCGGCAGUGACGGAUUGGGGAUUGCAGGAGCAUUUGCGAAGGGAGGUGAUGUACAUUGAUCAAAUCCUUCGGUACAGUUGCAACAUUUGGGUUGCGCACAGUUGCAAAAGGACCUAUUUUGAUCCGAGCGCGGACAGUGUGGGCAGCUGUGCAUGUGCGCAUACUUACUUGUCUUACAUGUCUGGGAGAAACACGUGCUUGCGGGGAGUAAAGGAGCCGAAACUGUGUAGUGCGAGGG
rnacentral:lncRNA from 1 species